AUUGAACGCUGGCGGCAGGCCUAACACAUGCAAGUCGAACGGUAGCACAGAGGAGCUUGCUCCUCGGGUGACGAGUGGCGGACGGGUGAGUAAUGUCUGGGAAACUGCCCGAUGGAGGGGGAUAACUACUGGAAACGGUAGCUAAUACCGCAUAACGUCGCAAGACCAAAGAGGGGGACCUUCGGGCCUCUUGCCAUCGGAUGUGCCCAGAUGGGAUUAGCUAGUAGGUGGGGUAACGGCUCACCUAGGCGACGAUCCCUAGCUGGUCUGAGAGGAUGACCAGCCACACUGGAACUGAGACACGGUCCAGACUCCUACGGGAGGCAGCAGUGGGGAAUAUUGCACAAUGGGCGCAAGCCUGAUGCAGCCAUGCCGCGUGUAUGAAGAAGGCCUUCGGGUUGUAAAGUACUUUCAGCGAGGAGGAAGGUGCUGUGGUUAAUAACCGCAGCAAUUGACGUUACUCGCAGAAGAAGCACCGGCUAACUCCGUGCCAGCAGCCGCGGUAAUACGGAGGGUGCAAGCGUUAAUCGGAAUUACUGGGCGUAAAGCGCACGCAGGCGGUCUGUCAAGUCGGAUGUGAAAUCCCCGGGCUCAACCUGGGAACUGCAUCCGAAACUGGCAGGCUAGAG
rnacentral:rRNA from 1 species